UUACAUUCUCCUGGGAACCAGAUUGUGUGCAAACCCUCUAUACAAAACAAAAUAUUGAUUCCAACAACAACAAGAGGAUAGAGACCUAGUUUAGGAAGACUAUGUCCAAGUCAAGCUUCUGAAACAAAGGUAUCUGACUAUACUGACGAAAGUAAAGAGACAUCCUGGCUACGGAAAAUCUGAUUAAUGGACCGUGCUGAGUUGUGUCAAAAGGGUUGGACUAACUCCCUCCCAUUCAUUCAGACUGAACUUUAUCACAGCUGAUGUGCUCAACAUCAAUAAUUCAGGUUGACGCUUCCCCUUUGUUGAGGAAGCUAAACACGCAUUGGACAGAAGCAUAAUUUGAGUUGAAGAAAAGGAUGAAAGCAAAGAUGCCAUCCGUGGUCCUUGUCCCGUAGGGUUUGGUGAGAUGCAACUGAUGCUGGGAGUCCCUUAUUCCUGCUUCUCAGCCCCGUCCCUGCUUAGCUGGAAUUUUUUUUUUUUGUUGAAGAAUUAUCUCCAUCCAUUUUAUAAAGUAGCCAGAGACAGUUUUAAUGACUCUUCUGAAUGGACCUUUGUUCAAUCACAGUAGGCUUCAUUUAAAUUUAAUGUGCUAUAAUUAUUUUCAAAAUGACACUGUCUGACAAGUUGAAAUACUAUUUUACAAGAGGAUGGAAUUCAAUGUGCCACUGGAUCUA